GGACCCGCACAAGCGGUGGAGCAUGUGGUUUAAUUCGACGGUAAGCGAGACACCUCACCCAGUCUUGACAUGUAGCUGCAAGCUUCUAGAGAUAGAGGCCGCCUUCGAGGGUGCUACACAGGUGCUGCAUGGUUGUCGUCAGCUCGUGGCGUGAGCUGUACGGUUAAGUCCGGUAACGAGCGCAACCCUCGUGCUGUGUUGUUUUUUCACAGCAGACUGCCUACGAAAGUAGGAGGAAGGAGAGGAUGACGUCAAAUCAGCAUGGCUCUUACGACUGGGGCCACACACGUGCUACAAUGGCUAGGACAACGCGUUGCCAACCCGUAAGGGGGAGCUAAUCGCAUCAAACCUAGUCUCAGUUCGGAUUGGAGUCUGCAACUCGACUCCAUGAAGCUGGAAUCGCUAGUAACCGCAAAUCAGCCACGUUGCGGUGAAUACGUUCUCGGGUCUU
rnacentral:rRNA from 1 species